AAGAGUUUACGUUAAGUUUAGACGUUUUGUCUUCAAAACAAAUAGUGUUUUAUAAACAUCUCUUG
rnacentral:tRNA from 1 species